rnacentral:rRNA from 1 species
CCUACGGGUGGCUGCAGUGGGGGAUAUUGCACAAUGGGGGAAACCCUGAUGCAGCGACGCCGCGUGGGCGAAGACGGAUUUCGGUAUGUAAAGCCCUAUCAGCAGGGAAGAAGAAAUGACGAUACCUGAGUAAGAAGCACCAGCUAAAUACGUGCCAGCAGCCGCGGUAAUACGUAUGGUGCAGGCGUUAUCCGGAUUUACUGGGUGUAAAGGGAGCGCAGGGGGCACGGGCAGCCUGAUGUGAAAGCCCGGGGCCCAACCGCGGGAGUGCGUUGGGAACUACCGGGCUGGAGUGCCGGAGAGGUAGGCGGAAUUCGUAGUGUAGCGGUGAAAUGCGUAGAUAUCACGAAGAACACCAGUGGCGAAGGCAGCCUACUGG